rnacentral:misc_RNA from 1 species
GUGUGCUCUUGCAAGCAGGCAGAGAGGAACGUCACUCACUCCAUCAGUCCGCGACUGUCCACGUCAUGUCGCCCUCGAAGAUCCAGUGGCACACCUCCACCUCGCCGGGCUUGCCGCCGAGCGCCACGAACGCGCCGUGCGCCGGGCUCCAGUCGGACGUGUCCAGGUGGCAGAUGGCCACCCCGCGGUUGAUCUUCUCGCCGGAGCCGGAGCCAUCGGCGGCCAGGAUGUCGGCCUCGUACACCCGCACCUUGGGCACGGAGUGGCAGUAGUACACCAGGUACGGGAACAGGCUCUGGUGGCACGACACGGACCGCGUCACCCUGCCGCCGUCCACGCCGGCCACGGCGCCCAGCUGGACGCGCCCGCCGCCGCCCGCCGUGGACGCCGUGCUGCGCACCACGAUGUCGUCGCCCAGCACCUCCACCGCGAAGUCCACCACGUCCUCGGCCGACGUCGCGCACCGCUUCGUCUCGCCCUUGCUCGGCGCGCGCUCGCACUCCGCCACCGUGGACGCCACGGCCUUCCCCAGCGCCGUGUCGAGGGGCAGCCCGAAGGCCUCCGACACGGCGUUGGGCUCGAACGGUAUCCUCGCGGCGAUGGCCCUGGGCAGGAACGCCCUGGGCGGCAUCUUGUCCCUGAUGUCCGGCAUCGGCAUUCGGUUCCCGGCCACGAGCUCCCGCUCCCUGAAGAACUUCCCGGGCUCCGGCGACCACUUCAGGUGCUCGUGAUGCAUCGAUGCCGCUGCCUCCGCCGACACCGUCAGCACCGCGGCGGUGGAGCUGGAGACGGUGGUGUUGUGGUACCCCUUGAAGUCCACACCGCUCUUGGCAUAGCCCUUGAAGGUGUUGUUCUCGCCGGCGUACUCCUUGAACCCAAUGUGGUGGUUGGGGUUGGUGCCCUCGCCGUAGCCCUUGAAGAUGGUGCUGCCCGGGUUGGCCGAGUUGCCGUAGCUCUGGAACUCCGCCGCGCCGCCGUUUGCGCCCUUGGCGUAGGAGGUGAACCUGUCGUCGCCGACGUUGCCGUCGUCGCGGUAAUUCUUGAAGGUGUCGACGCCAGCGUUGCCGCCGGCGCCGUAGCUCCGGAACCUGUUCUCAGGGACGUUCCCCUCCACGCCGUAGCCCGUGAAGGUGUCCGUGGCGCCGUUGGCGGACUGCCCGUAGUUGGCGAAGCCGGAGGCCAGCACGUUGGACUCAUUGCCGUAGGACUUGAACGUCUCGCGCACGCCGUUGCCGUUCUUGCCGUAGCCGGAGAAGCCGUUCUCCCCAUGGUUCGCCUCCUGGGAGUAGGACGCGAAGCUCCGGCCGCGGCCGUUGGCGGCGGCGUCGUAGUUGGUGAAGGUGGAGUCCGGGACGUUGGUCUCGGCGGCGUAGGCGGCGAAGGAGCCCGAACCACCCGUGGCGCCGCCGGCGUAGGAGGUGAAGUUGGCGGUCACGACGUUGCCGUCGGCCUCGUAAGAGGUGAAGCUGUCGGCGCGUCCCGACGAGUCCCGGCCGUAGCGGCGGAAGCUGUCGGCGGCGAUGUUGAGGUCCGGGGAGUACUUCUGGAACGAGUCGGUCCCCGCUACGCCGCCGGUGCCGUAGUUGGAGAAGUUGGCGUUGUUGUAGCCCUUGAAAGGUCCCCCGCCCCUGCGGCCCGAUGUCAGCGACGCCGCAUCAGUAGUAGCCGGCCCGGGGCAGAGGAGCGCGGCUUUGGUGCAGAGCGCGGGUAGGCUGGCGCGGAUGUCGGGCAGCGCGGAUGGGAAGGAGGCGGAGUCAGCGGCCGGGAGCGGGGAGAGUUUGGCGACGAAGAAGGCCGGGUGCGGGCGGUUGUUGGGCACCUUGCGGUUCCAGUAUCGGAUGAAUGCCGCCUUCGCCGUGAAUGGGUUCACCGCCGGCGACGCGCCGUCGGCUCUGGCGGCGGCAUUGUGCAAGAGGAGGAGCAGGGUAGCGGCGAGGACGGUGCGGGUGAGUGGCUGGGGAGGGGAAGAAGCCAUGGGAGAUUUGGGGAUGGGGAUUGCCAGAAACGGAGACGAGACGAGACGAGGCCAAUAUAGCAAGAGUGGGGACUGGGGAGUGUGUGUGAAUGCGAGCUGACAGGAUGGCACUACCGCACUAAAACAGUUAUUAGUUCAAAAUAAAAGAGAGAGAAGUGUCCAUUAACUGAUAAUGUAUUUCUCUUCAUCAUUCCCUCUCAUUUAUUUUGGGAAAAAAAUUCUUGUACUUCUAGGAGAAUAGUGUGGGAUAAUCGUCGUACUGGAUUUCAUGAGCUGAAGAUUAUUCAGAGGAUAUGACUAACCUCUCUAGACAAUAUGCUAGACUAUUCGUUUGACUUUAAUUCGUACCGGUUUCUACUAUUUCUACAACGUUUUAGUUUCUAUGUAUUAUAGUUACAGUAGUACAAACAACCUGAUUAUUCUUAUGAACACCGCUACAUGUACGAUUAUAGUGGUAGACUUAGGUACCACAAAGGUAUCUAAUAGUUCAUGAUUGAUUAGUUCAAUACAAGAGAUACGUAAGUCAAUCAUGAUAGAAGGGAUGGUACUGAAGUCAACACAGUCAGGACCGUCAAAGACAUAGAUGAAGACGCGACACAGUAGAGGAAGGGUUAACGAUGUUCUGGCCGGAUGUUCGUAGCAGAAUGGGCUGUACACGUUUUAGAUUUUCAUUUUAAUAGCAUGUCCGUUGGCUUUAAUCCUUAAUGCUACUGAUUCCAUAAUAUUUUCUAUAUAUAGAUUAUAGCUGUAACAAUCUAAACAGCUGUAUUCAACUCGAA